UACGUAGGCAGCAAGCGUUGUUCGGAAUUACUGGGCGUAAAGGGCUCGUAGGUGGCCAACUAAGUCGGACGUGAAAUCCCUCAGCUUAACUGGGGAACUGCGUCCGAUACUGGAUGGCUUGAGUUUGGGAGAGGGAUGCGGAAUUCCAGGUGUAGCGGUGAAAUGCGUAGAUAUCUGGAGGAACACCGGUGGCGAAGGCGGCAUCCUGGACCAACACUGACACUGAGGAGCGAAAGCCAGGGGAGCAAACGGG
rnacentral:rRNA from 1 species